rnacentral:tRNA from 1 species
UACCCAAUGGUGUAGUGGUUUGAACAUGGGAUUACAACUCUGAAGACCAGGGUUCAAUUCCCUGCUUGGUCA